rnacentral:rRNA from 1 species
CUGGCCUUGACAUCCAGAGAACUUUCCAGAGACGGAUUGGUGCCUUCGGGAACUCUGAGACAGGUGCUGCAUGGCCGUCGUCAGCUCGUGUCGUGAGAUGUUGGGUUAAGUCCCGUAACGAGCGCAACCCCUAUCCCUGGUUGCUAGCAGGUAAUGCUGAGAACUCCAGGGAGACUGCCGGUGACAAACCGGAGGAAGGUGGGGAUGACGUCAGGUCAUCAUGGCCCUUACGGCCAGGGCUACACACGUGCUACAAUGGCGCGUACAGAGGGCUGCCAACUCGCGAGAGUGAGCCAAUCCCUUAAAACGCGUCGUAGUCCGGAUCGGAGUCUGCAACUCGACUCCGUGAAGUCGGAAUCGCUAGUAAUCGCGAAUCAGAAUGUCGCGGUGAAUACGUUCCC